rnacentral:rRNA from 1 species
UACGUAGGGUGCAAGCGUUGUCCGGAAUUAUUGGGCGUAAAGAGCUCGUAGGCGGUUUGUCGCGUCUGCUGUGAAAACCCGGAGCUCAACUCCGGGCCUGCAGUCGAUACGGGCAGACUGGAGUUCGGCAGGGGAGACUGGAAUUCCUGGUGUAGCGGUGAAAUGCGCAGAUAUCAGGAGGAACACCGGUGGCGAAGGCGGGUCUCUGGGCAACAACUGACGCUGAGGAGCGAAAGCGUGGGGAGCGAACAGG